rnacentral:lncRNA from 10 species
UUGUAUUUUUAGUAGAAACGGGGUUUCACCAUGUUGGUCAGGCUGGUCUCGAACUCCUGAUCUCGUGAUCUGCCUGCCUCGGCCUCCCAAAGUGCUGGGAUUACAGGCAUGAGCCACCACACCCGGCCCCCACAUUGAUUUUUUAAGUGAGAGUAGAUUCGUAAGUUAGCAAGCAGCCUGAGUAAUAGAGGUGUUCAGAAAAACAUUUCAAUUUCCUAUUCCAAAGCUGCAAUAUACAAACUAUUAAAUUUCUAAUGUUACCCUUGUUGGAGAGUGUCUUAUAAUAUAGUAGCCUCUAUUUCUGAUUCUCCAAAGGAAUGGCUCUAAAUAAAUGUUCAUAUCUUUGUAUAGAUAUUGAUUUCUGUAUUAUCUAUCUGCAGGGUGUUCCUGAAAAUGAAAGGAGAACUACCAAAGCAGAGAGUGCUUGGCUUUUCCGGAUGUGGUACAACUUUGAUCAUAACUAUCUGAAGCCUCUGCUGACCCACAGCGGGCCUCCGCUGACAACAACACUCCCUGCCUGCUGUGGACCCAUCGCCAGGUGCCUCACCAGCCCCCAGGCUUACGAAAACCAGGAACAGUUGAAAG